rnacentral:rRNA from 1 species
AUGUUUAAAGGCUACAUUGGUGUUUCUAGCUUGGAGAAGCAACAUCAACUUGGGAUACAGAUUCACCAGCAUAUGCACAUGCAUCUCAUAGGGGAAGAGCUCUUGCAUGGAUGUAAGACCAUUUUGCUUCAGCCAGUUAUAGAUUUUAGAGUGAUGAUUUGCUUAAAUUCGUUUCCAUUCAUAAAAUCAACAUCCAAUGAAAUAUGA